GACAGAGGGGGCAAGCGUUGCUCGGAAUCACUGGGCGUAAAGGGCGCGUAGGCGGGAUGGCAAGUCGGUCGUGAAAUCCUUCGGCUCAACCGAAGAACGUCGGCCGAUACUGCCGUUCUUGAGGGAUGCAGAGGAGAUUGGAGUUCCCGGUGUAGCGGUGAAAUGUGUAGAGAUCGGGAGGAACACCGGUGGCGAAGGCGGGUCUCUGGGCCGUAACUGACGCUGAGGAGCGAAAGCGUGGGGAGCGAACAGG
rnacentral:rRNA from 1 species